rnacentral:rRNA from 1 species
GGGGCAACAUAUGAGGCGGGCUGGACCUCUCGGGGUUACAGCCUUGCUGAAUUAUUCACCCUUGUCUUUUGCGUACUUCUUGUUUCCUUGGUGGGUUCGCCCACCACUAGGACAAACAUAAACCUUUUGUAAUUGCAAUCAGCGUCAGUAACAAAUUAAUAAUUACAACUUUCAACAACGGAUCUCUUGGUUCUGGCAUCGAUGAAGAACGCAGCGAAAUGCGAUAAGUAGUGUGAAUUGCAGAAUUCAGUGAAUCAUCGAAUCUUUGAACGCACAUUGCGCCCUUUGGUAUUCCAAAGGGCAUGCCUGUUCGAGCGUCAUUUGUACCCUCAAGCUUUGCUUGGUGUUGGGCGUCUUGUCUCUAGCUUUGCUGGAGACUCGCCUUAAAGUAAUUGGCAGCCGGCCUACUGGUUUCGGAGCGCAGCACAAGUCGCACUCUCUAUCAGCAAAGGUCUAGCAUCCAUUAAGCCUUUUUUUCAACUUUUGACCUCGGAUCAGGUAGGGAUACCCGCUGAACUUAAGCAUAUCAA